UUGCUUUCUCCGCCGGCGACCGGCGCACGGGUGAGUAACACGUAUGCAACCUGCCCCUGUCAGGGGGACAACCCCGCCGAAAGGCGGGCUAAACCCGCGUACAUGCCACCGGGGCAUCCCGGAGGCAGGAAAGGCUUCGGCCGGACAGGGAUGGGCAUGCGGCGCAUUAGGCAGUAGGCGGGGUAACGGCCCACCUAACCGACGAUGCGUAGGGGUUCUGAGAGGAAGGUCCCCCACACUGGUACUGAGACACGGACCAGACUCCUACGGGAGGCAGCAG
rnacentral:rRNA from 1 species